rnacentral:rRNA from 1 species
CGUGCAGCCGGGCAUGCAAGUCAGAUGUGAAAUCUCAGGGCUUAACCCUGAAACUGCAUUUGAAACUGUAUGUCUUGAGUGCCGGAGAGGUAAUCGGAAUUCCUUGUGUAGCGGUGAAAUGCGUAGAUAUAAGGAAGAACACCAGUGGCGAAGGCGGAUUACUGGACGGUAACUGACGGUGAGGCGCGAAAGCGUGGGGAGCGAACA